rnacentral:rRNA from 1 species
AAUUACUAAAAUACUGUACUAAAUUGUACUACACGAAUUAGUAUGAGCUAAUUAUUUAUAAAUAUAUAGUUUAUUUUAUUAAAUGUAGCAAUAUUUAAUUACUAUAUAUAAUUAGGGGUGAAACAUCUAUCAAAUCCUACGAUAUCUUGAAGUAAAGUAAAAAUAUUUAGUAUUUAGCUCAACUAUAAAGUGAUUAGGCUUUAUAGAGACAUAAUAAUAAAUAAAAAGGAAUAUAAAUUAUAUAAAUUAUAAUUAUAUUACAUAACCUAAAAUAAUAUAUAUUAACUAUAUGAUUUUAUACUAUACAAUAAAUUACUAUAUAUAAAAUUUAUUUAUAAUGUAAUUAUAAGUAAUUAAAAAAAUAUAAAAUAGGAACUCGGCAAAAUAUUUUUUCAACUGUUUACCAAAAACAUUGCUUUAUGUAGAAUAUAUAAAGUUAUCCCUGCUCAAUGGUUUUUACUAAAUAGCCGCAGUACAUUGACUGUGCAAAGGUAGCAUAAUAAAUUGGCUUAUAAUUGAAGUCUAGUAUGAAUGGGUGUAUGGAAAAAUACUGUCUUUUAUAUAAUAAUUGAAAUUAAUUAGAAAGUGCAAAUGCUUUCAUAUAAUAAUUAGACGAGAAGACCCUAGAAAUUUUUAUAUAGAUCAAUCAAAUAAAUAUUUUGUUGGGGCGACAAAGUAACAAGUAACUUACUAUUAAUAUAUAAGAAAUUUAUAUAUAGUAUAAUAAAAUUACUCUAGGGAUAACAGCAUAAUAUAUAAAAGUUUGUGACCUCGAUGUUGGACUAGGAUAAUUAAUACUUAAAAGGUAUUACAUUGAGCUCUGUUCGAGCUAUAGUUUCCUACAUGAUCUGAGUUCAGACCGG